CUGGGGCAAAUAAAAGGUCACUCUAAAAUAUGCAAUUCCACAGUUGUCUCAGGUUUUGAGGGAGCGUGCAAUUGGUAGGCUGACUGCAGGAAUGCCCACCAGAUCUGUUGCCAGAGAAUUGAAUGUUAAUUUCUCUACCAUAACCCGCCUCCAACAUCAUUUUAAAGCAUUUGGAAGUCCGUCCAACCGGCCUCACAACAGCAGACCACGUGUAACCAAGCCAGCCCAGGACCUCCACAUCUGGCUUCUUCACCUGCGGGAUCGUAUGAGACCAGCCACCUGGACAGCUGAUGAAACGGUGGGUUUACCCAACCAAAUAAUUUCUGCAGUUCAGCGUUGUAACUGACUUCAAUGGGCAAAUGCUCACCUUCGAUGGCCACUGGCAUGCUGGAGAUGUGUGCUCUUUACAAAUGAAUCUCGGUUUCAACUGUACCGGGCAGGUAGUAUGUGUGUGGGCGAGUGGUUUGCUGAUGUCAACAUUGUGAAUAGAGUGCCCCAUGGUGGGGUUAUGGUAUGGACAGGCAUAAGCUACUGACAACGAACACAAUGGCAUUUUAUUGAUUACAAUUUGAAUGCACAGAGAUACCGUGACGAGAUCCUGAGGCCCAUUGUCGUGCCAUUCAUUUGCCACCAUCACAUGUUUCAGCAUAAUGCACGGCUCCAUGCAUGAUGCAAUGUCUCAGUUCCUCCAUGGCCUGUAUACUCACCUGAAAUGUCACUCAUUGAGCAUGUUUGGGAUGUUCUGGAUGGAUGUGUACAACAUUGUGUUCCAGUUCUUGCCAAUUUCGCACAGCCAUUGAAGAGGAUUGGGACAACAUUCCACAGGCCACAAUCAAGUCUACUUAACUCUCUGCAAAGGAGAGGUGUCACUUUGCAUGUGGCAAAUGGUGGUCACACCAGAUACUGACUGGUUUUCUGAUCCAUGACCCUACCUUUUUUUUAAGGAAAGUAAUCAGGGGCUCCCGAGUGGUGCAGAGGUCUAAGGCACUGCAUUUCACUGCUAGAGACAUCACAACAGACCCUGGUUUGACCCCGGGCUGUAUCUCAACUGGCCGUGAUCGGGAGUCCCCAUAGGGCGCCGCAUAAUUGGUCCAGCGUCGUCCGGUUUAGGGCAGGGUUUGGCCUGGGUCCCUUGAAGCUGUCCUCUGACAACCAUCACCUCUGGAUGUUCUACUACCAACAGACCUGCAGUAAUUCAAAUCUCCUUGUCUCCAACACAGUCAAGUUGCUACUCCUCUGGAUAUCCCAUUGUUCCUCCACUGGACCUAAUUAAACACUGAGUAUGAAAUGACUUUCACGGUGUAGUUGUAGGAAAUGUAAACUGUUCUGUUCUAAUGUUGCAUUAAUAUAGAACUAUUCAUGAAAAUACUGUGUAAAAGUGUGUUUCUACGUCAUACAUUGUUUCAAGCCACUCCUUGCAACAUCUGAUGUGAGAUUCAUGUGAGAUGUAUUAUAUUUUUUAGGUUAGUAUAAGGAGUCGGUGUUAUUCCUCAAGCAUCAAUAGGGUAUAUCAUUAAUUGAAAAGACAUUUGAACAGCAGUAAAUAUAGCAGAUUGUAACUAACAUAACACUUGGCCUCCAGUUCUCCUUACUGUACCUCCCUAAAGCUGAAGUGUGCAGUAGUUGCUGAAUUCCCCAUGGAAUACACAAUGAUUGAUGAUCGAAUACUGAGGAAGUGAAGUUGUACUGAUAACAAUUAAAAGUAUAAUUUCUCAAUGAAACCCUGUUUUGAAUCCAGUGUCUCUUAUGGGCUGCAAAUUUUAUUUGUCACAUACACAUGGUUAGCAGAUGUUAAUGUGAG
ensembl:lncRNA